CCUACGGGGGACAGCAGUGAGGAAUAUUGGUCAAUGGCCGUAAGGCUGAACCAGCAAAGCCGCGUGAAGGAAGAAGGAUCUAUGGUUUGUAAACUUCUUUUAUAGGGGAAUAAAGGUAUACACGUGUCGAUAUUUGCAUGUACCCUAUGUAUAAGCAUCGGCUAACUCCGUGCCAGAAGCCGCGGUAAUACGGAGGAUGUGAGCGUUAUCCGGAUUUAGUGGGUUUAAAGGGAGCGUAGGUUGUUUUUUAAGUCAGCGGUGAAAGUUUGUGGCUCAACCAUAGAAUUGCCGUUGAAACUGGAAGACUUGAGUUUGUUAGAGGUAGGCGGUAUGC
rnacentral:rRNA from 1 species